rnacentral:rRNA from 1 species
AUGGCCGGCGACGGCGACCUCGCCCCCCGACGCCUCCGCCAGCAAGUCGCCCUCGCCUCCGACCACGACUUCGCCUUCCAACUCCAGCUCAACGAGGCCAUCCAAGCUUCCCUCCGCGUCCCUACUCCCAACCGGCCCUCUUCCAGCGCCGCCGCCGCCGCCUCCUGCUCCUGCCGCUUAUGUCAACCCGCCCCUCCGCUCUGGUCCUCCGAAGCCGCCGAACUUGCGCGCCAAGAGAAGAACCGCCGCGACGCGCAGGCCUUCCGCGCCGCCCACGCCCAGGCAAACACCUCUGCCCGCGUCGCCUCCCGCGGCGCCCUCUUGGCGCGCGAGCUCGCCGACACUCCAGAUCGCCGACGGGCCCACGGCGGAGACCACUUCGAGCGACCUCUGGAUCCAAGCCGCGCCCCUCUCUUCCGCGUCUUCUACAAGGGAUUGUCGAACAAGGAGGGCGCGGGGAGGUGGGGCGUCCCGGACCCCCGCGACGCGGUGCUCGCGGUGGCCGUGUACGAUCCCCGGGGGAAGGUGGUGCGCACCACACAGAAGCGCGUGGAAAGUUUCGAGGGCGGGCGCAUGGAGCUCGAGGUGCUGGCGCUCAUGGAAGGCAUCCACGCUGCGCUCGAGCUGGGGAUACGAUGGGUCAACAUUGUCUCCGACUUCAAGGCGCUGCACAAAUAUGUAUGCCUUAAUGAAACCUCUAGAUCUGUGCAUCUGUCGUCUAUCUUAAUGCAGUACUUCUUACACGGCAAAUAG